rnacentral:tRNA from 1 species
GACUCGCUAGCUCAGUUGGCAGAGCACUUGACUUUUAAUCAAGGUGUCCGGAGUUCGAAUCUCCGGCGGGUCACCA